rnacentral:rRNA from 1 species
CAGUCGCCGCGGUAAUACGAAGGGUGCAAGCGUUAAUCGGAAUUACUGGGCGUAAAGCGUGCGUAGGCGGUGAGUUAAGUCUGCUGUGAAAUCCCCGGGCUCAACCUGGGAAUUGCAGUGGAUACUGGAUCACUAGAGUGUGGUAGAGGAUAGUGGAAUUUCCGGUGUAGCAGUGAAAUGCGUAGAGAUCGGAAGGAACAUCUGUGGCGAAGGCGACUAUCUGGGCCAACACUGACACUGAGGCACGAAAGCGUGGGGAGCAAACAGGAUUAGAUACCCAGUAGUCCCUGUCUCUUAUACC